rnacentral:rRNA from 1 species
GACGAACGCUGGCGGCGUGCUUAACACAUGCAAGUCGAACGGAAAGGCCCUGCUUUUGUGGGGUGCUCGAGUGGCGAAAGGGUGAGUAACACGUGAGUAACCUGCCCUUGACUUUGGGAUAACUUCAGGUAACUGGGGCUCAUACCGGAUAUGAGCUCCUGCUGCAUGGUGGGGGUUGGAAAGUUUCGUCGGUUGGGGAUGGACUCGCGGCUUAUCAGCUUGUUGGUGGGGUUGUGGCUUACCAAGGCUUUGACUGGUAGCCGGCAUGGGAGAGUGACCGGCAACAAGGAGAAUGAGAGACGGCCGAGGCACGUACGGGAGGCAAAAGUGGGGAGAAGUGCACAUAGGGCGGGAGCGAGGAACGAAAACGCAGCGGGCGGGAUGACUGGCUUCGGGUUGUAAACCGCUUUCGCCUGUGACGAAGCGUGAGUGACGGUAAUGGGUAAAGAAGCACCGGAUAACUACGGG